rnacentral:rRNA from 1 species
AACGAACGCUGGCGGCGUGUUUAAGACAUGCAAGUCGCACGGUGUCAUUUUGGUAGCAAUACUUGAAUGGCAUAGUGGCGCACGGGUGAGUAACACGUGAAUUACAUGCCCUGUAGAGGGGGAUAGCCCAGGGAAACUUGGAUUAAUACCCCAUGGUCUCGCAAGAGUAAGGGUGGCCGCAAGGCUGUCGCUACAGGAUUGGUUCGCGCCCUAUCAGCUUGUUGGCGGGGUAACGGCCCACCAAGGCUACGACGGGUACCUGGUCUGAGAGGACGAUCAGGCACACUGGAACUGAGACACGGUCCAGACGCCUACGGGUGGCAGCAGUCGAGAAUAAUUCACAAUGGGGGCAACCCUGAUGGUGCAACGCCGCGUGGAGGAUGACGGUCUUCGGAUUGUAAACUCCUGUCAUCCGGGAGUAAGACCUGGGCAUGAAUAGUGCACAGGGUUGAUAGUACCGGAAGAGGAAGGGACGGCUAACUUCGUGCCAGCAGCCGCUGUAAAAC